rnacentral:rRNA from 1 species
AACGAACGCUGGCGGCGUGCUUAACACAUGCAAGUCGAACGGAAAGGCUCCAGCUUGCUGGAGUACUCGAGUGGCGACCGGGUGAGUAACACGUGGGUAAUCUGCCCUUCACUCUGGGAUAAGCCUGGGAAACUGGGUCUAAUACUGGAUAUGACCUUUCUCCUUUUGGUGUUUGGUGGAAAGUUUUUCUGUGUAGGAUGAGCCCGCGGCGUAUCAGCUUGUUGGUGGGGUUAUGGCCUACCAAGGCUACGACGGGUAGCCGGCCUGAGAGGGCGGUCGGCCACAUUGGGACUGAGAUACGGCCCAGACUCCUACGGGAGGCAGCAGUGGGGAAUAUUGCACAAUGGGAGGAAGCCUGAUGCAGCGACGCCGCGUGAGGGAUGACGGGCUUCGGGUUGUAAACCUCUUUCAGCAGGGACGAAGCGUAAGUGACGGUACCUGCAGAAGAAGCACCGGCUAACUACGUG